GUUUUAGUUUGCUCAAAUCAAGAUUGUCCUAAGGAGGUUGUGGCUGCGACGCCGAUUUUUAGGAUUCCAAUAAGAGUACAAGAUUAUGCAGCUAUUGCCUCUUUGACUUUGUUCGACCGUGAAGCUAGAAAAAUGUUGGGUAUGACAGCAAUUCAAUUGCUUGAGAAGUGUAAAGUGGAUCAGGCAUCUUUGGAAGAGAAAACCAUUCCCUAUCAGUUU